AUAGCGUAUAUUAAAGUUGUUGCAGUUAAAAAGCUCGUAGUUGAACCUUGGGUCUUGUUAGCGGGUGCCUCCCAACGGGGGUUACCAUCGACAGGCAGGGCCUUUCUCCUUGAGUAGUCCGGCGUGCCCUUCACUGGGUGUGCCGGGCAAUCGGGACUUUUACUUUGAAAAAAUUAGAGUGUUCAAAGCAGGCAUAUGCUCGGAUACAUUAGCAUGGAAUAAUAGAAUAGGACGUUUCGGCUUAUUUUGUUGGUAUUGACGGCCGGCCGUAAUGAUUAAUAGGGAUAGUCGGGGGCAUCAGUAUUCAAUUGUCAGAGGUGAAAUUCUUGGAUUUAUUGAAGACUAACUACUG
rnacentral:rRNA from 1 species